rnacentral:rRNA from 1 species
UACGAAGGGUGCAAACGUUGCUCGGAAUUAUUGGGCGUAAAGCGCACGUAGGCGGCUUGGCAAGUCGGAUGUGAAAUCCCUCGGCUCAACCAAGGAAGUGCAUCCGAAACUGCCGAGCUUGAGUACUUAAGAGGAUCGCGGAAUUCCCGGUGUAGAGGUGAAAUUCGUAGAUAUCGGGAGGAACACCAGUGGCGAAGGCGGCUAUCUGGACGGUUUCUGACGCUAAGACGCGAAAGCGUGGGGAGCAAACAGG